UUUGUGUAAAAUGUCGGCGAGCGGCGGACGGCUGAGUAACGCGUAGGAAUUUGCCCCAAAGUGAGGAAUAACUGCCCGAAAGGGUAGCUAAUGCCGCAUAUGGUCUUCGGAUUAAAGCCUUCGGGCGCUUUGGGAGAAGCCUGCGUUGGAUUAGGUAGUUGGUAGGGUAAUGGCCUACCAAGCCGACGAUCCAUAGCUGGUCUGAGAGGAUGAUCAGCCAGACUGGAACUGAGACACGGUCCAGACUCC
rnacentral:rRNA from 1 species